rnacentral:sRNA from 1 species
CUGAAGAAAGCUACAGUAUAUUUAUAUAUAAUAAAUAAAUCUUUAAAAAGUUGGGUAAGACAUAUCUCCAAAUUUCAUGUAUGGAGCAGAAUAUAGAAUACCAUUUUGAUAUUACUCCACUUACUUGUCUGUAGAACCUUCCUCCUGAGGAGAAGCAGAUGAAAUCUUUAAUACUUCAGCAUUAUCAUUAGACAAGAUUUUCUUACUGUGAUUAUCAAUGGCUUCUUUUAUUUUAUCUGUUUACCAACAGUAUUUAGUGAACCUGAUGAUGUUGUUAUGUCAUCAGAUCUAUUUGGAAAAUCUUUAUAAAAUAUAUUGUCAUCAUCCCCAUAUAUCUCAAGAGAGUUUUCAAUAAGAACUUUUACAAUAGCAAAAUGUAACACAAGGCAAAAACAAGAUCCUCAUUUCACAUAUUUUACAAAUUUAAAGUCAAGUAAAAAAAUUAAAAUAAAAAUUAUGAGGAAAAUAGCAGUUACUACAAAUAUAUAAAUCAAUGAAAUGAACUCUGAAAUGGAGACUCUAAGUUCUUUGCAUGUUACUAAAACUUGUUACAAUUGCAAAUAAAUUUGCAAACAAUAGAGAAACUACUAAAGCAAAGCAAAGUUUCAGAACUGAUAUGUUGCCAAGAAUAAUUAUAAAUGAAUUAAUUGCUUGAAGGAAUCUUGACUAUUUUGUGUUGUUUUUUGAGAGGCUUGUGGAGAGGAGAAGGAAUUUCAUUGAAUGGAGUUCCCCUUUUAUUCUAGGCACCUCAAUACUUGAUACAUUAUUUGUGACAACUUUUGAGUGGCUUAAUUGACUUGGACUUCCUGGAAGAAACUUAUCAUUGGUUAGAAUUUAGGGUUAUAAUUGCCAGGUGCUAUUUGCAGUGUACUCUCUCUACUUCAUGUUUUCGGUCCAAUUUGAGAGACAUCAGUUUUCAGCUUCCAGUUUCGUUGUCCUUGCUUCCUCUUUUGCUUCUCUGACAUAAUUUGAAGGAUUGUAAUAUCUCUGCUUCUCUUAGUGCCAAAUAAUCAUUUACUUGUAUAAGUUGUCUUGGUCAUGUUGUUUUAUUAAAGCAAUAAAAAGUUACUUAGAGGAGAAGUUGAUGAGAAAAGGGAAUAUAAAUUGAAAAAAUGUCUCCAUCAGAUUGGCUUAUUGUGUAGGGAAGUCUAUGUGACACUGUCUUGAUUAACAAUAUAAAUUUUAGGACCCAGACCUCCAGGAUGGAGUCACCUUGGUGCUAUUGGUCAGGCUAAGAAAAAAAUAUGAGGUACAGGUCAGUAGGCAGAACUACUACAUGGCUUCUGCUUAGGUUCUUGCCUCCAAGACCCUGCCUACUUCAGUUUAGGCCCUGAUAUUUCUCAGUAAUAAACUGUCAAAUAGAAGUAUAACAUGGAGUCCUCCACAAGUUGCUUUUCAACUGUGAAAAUAUAACCUGCCUUCCAUAAGUUGAUUUUUAAUCAGUGUUUUAUUACACCAAUAGUAGGAUGUUUAGAUAUUUUCUAAAUUGAAAAACAUUAAUGUCCCUUUUCUUCUGAGAUGGCGGAUUAAGUCAACUCUGUUAAUCUCGUGUUUCUUCCCAAGAUGAACAUCUUUAUGUUUGAGCAGUCUUGGACUAAAUAGGAGGGACAUGAUUCUCAGGAAAAUCACACUUAAAUGAUUGUCUUCUUUUAUGUGCACACUGUUCAGAAUACUUUUGCUUCCUUUUCUUCAUACCUGCUCCUACAAAGAAAUACAUUUUAAUAGAACUGUCCAUAUAGGGAAAAUCAUUAAUUUUUAUUAAGAGUGGAAAUACUAUUCCUUCACUUGAACUGAACAUGCAGUUUAACAUAGGGUUUGAUUUUAGAGUGCCAGUAGUUGUGUACUUUGGAGAAAAGAGUAUGUUAGUAGUCUAGGCCAAGUAGAGUCCUGGGUAAGAAAGCUAUUCAAACAAUGUCUUGUAUUAUCCUACUCCAGUGAGUCAUAUAACCAUGACUUCCUUCAUGUGGGCCUUAUUCCUGGAAGCUAUUGGUUAAAAUAUACCCUUGAUUUUUUUUAUUGUCUGUUGUUUUAUUACUUUUUAAAAUGUAAGAUCUUUAUUGAAUGUGUGUGAAUUUCUCAUCAUGCAACCCAAUAACUCCCCUUUUCCAAUCCCAUAUCUUCUCUCCCCUUAGAAAUCCCCCAAAUCCAAAAUUACAAAUUAAAUAAGUAUUUAAAUUAAAAUUAAAUUCUAAAAAUUAACUAAAACAAAUAAAAAUUCAUCUCUCUGAGAUGCGAUGUGCCAUGGUGUGUCACAUUGUCUAUACCCUUUUACCCAAAGAGUUUUACUUGCAAAUGUUCAUUGAAAUGAGUCAGUGGUCUAGUUCAAGGCCUCUGGAUUUUGCUACAUCAUCAAUAGUGGAAGCUCCAAGAGACUGUUCCCCUCCUAUAUUCUGUACUUCCUGAUGUUUCCCUUAGUCAUGGAGAUCCUUCAGCUUUGAAUCUGCAGGGCCAGCCCCUUUACAUGCUUCAGCAGCUGCACCUAUGUCCUCUACAUACAUGUAGCAUAUAUGCAGCUUGAUCUUCCUUUAGAUCCCUUAACAUUUAUUGUGGGGCCUUUCUAUGACUCUGUAGUCUGCCUCUGGAUCCCUUCCUUCUAGCUGGGAAGCCUUGUCUGGCUUCAGUGGGAGAAGAUGCACUUAGCCCUGUUGGAAAUUCAUGUAUGAAGGAGAUUUGGUAUCCAUCUGGUUUACUUCUCUGAAGAGGAGAAAUGGAGGGAAGAGGUUGUGGGGAUGGAAUUUGAAUAAGAAUGGGAGUGGUCUGCAAUUAAGAUAUAAAGUGAAUAAAUAAAUGAAUACAUAUAAGUUUAUAAUAAAAUUAAUAGUUACAGUAAAGCCAAGGUACAUAAGACUGAAAAUUAAUUAAUGCCAGCACACAUUAUUCUUUCUUGUAUAAGUAGGAGUUAGUGACAAAAUAUAGAACAUUCAGAAUAUAAUAUACACUUGUUAUUUAUCAUUACUCAUUAUAUUGCAUAUUUUGUAUUAUAAAACUGUGUACAAUUUGCUUUUAUAUGGCCAGAAAUGCAGUUGUUGUGAAUUUUUUCUUCAUUAUAAGAGUCUCACCACUAUGAAACAUAACUACUAUGUACCCCAACGUAGUAUGACAAUGAAAAAAAAAACAAAACAAACACAACACUAUAUAAACAUUAUUUUUCAACUUCAUUCUAUUUUAUUUGGAAUACCAUAAUAUGUGGAGCAUAUUGUUGACUAAAAUAUCAAUAUGUAAAAUCAAUAUCUAAAAAAUGAAAGAAAAAAUGAUUCACUUACUCAAACUACAUUAAUAAUCUCCCUUCUCAAACUUUCCUAAAACAGAUCAAUACAACUUCCUCUCUGAAUAGUGCAAAUCUAAGGUGUCCUUUAAAAGCAGUGAUAUCAUUGAAGUAUCCCCAAUACAUGGUUCACAAUGAGGACUUUGUUUCCAAAGGAAGAAAACAACUGAUCCCCUUAUUGGUUUUUUGAAAUCAUGUCUGAAAACUGAAUUGCUGGAAGUAGAAUUUCAUAGAAACUGAGGGGCUAUGUGAACAGAUCAUUGUAAGUGGCCAAGUGAUUCACGAAAGAGUCUUUAAUCUUGAAAAACAAAUGAAAAAGUUAUUUUAGGAGAAUAUAGUUUGUGGCAUCUGCAGUAGGAAACUAAACAGGAUUUUACGUUUGUUUUUCUAACUUUAAUGUUACUCAUGAAACUCUAUUAAAUACAAAGAAAAACCAAGAUAAAUGUUUAGUCAUCCAACUCAAUAUGCAAUCUCAAUUCAAAAGAAGACUAUAUAGCUGAAGUUUUGCCUUGUCCAGCCUCAGUGAGAGCAUGUGCCUAAACCUGAAGAGACUUGAUGUGUCAGGGUGAGAGAAUACCCAGGGCAUUCUAUCUCAGAGAGAAGGGGAUGGACAAUAUAAGGGAGAAAGAAGAGGUGGGCACCAUUCAGGUUGUAAAAUGAAUGAAUGAAUGAAUGAAUGAAUGAAUGAAUGAAUGAAAGAGUGGAUUCUUGCGUGCAAAAUGGCAAUAAUAAUAAUAACCAAUGAAACAGACAAACAUACAAAAACCAAACUGUUUAUCCUGGAAAUGAGCAAACUCAAUAAAUGGAGGGACAGAAAAUACCUCAUCCUGAUUGUUCAAUUGGGUGAAUAAGUACUUUUAGUUCAUAGUAAGGAAAGUUCUAAUAUGCAUGUACAUCUUUCUUACAGAACCGCCUGGAACAGGGUGAACUUUAUUACUGGAGCACCCUGGGUUGCAUUAAUAUGGUCUCACAGUUUCACAUCUGUUCUUUAAAUGUGUAAAUAAUCAAGUAUGUAAAUUAGUUGUAAACAGCACCUUGUUUAAUGGAUAAAAAUGUCACUUUGUUCAUGAAACACCACAAUCACCUUUUAUGUUGUACCAAGGAGAAAGUGAGAAAACAUGGAAUAUUCCCAGGGAUUCUUGUACCUUUAUAGUGCUCUGAAUGCACAUGGCUACCAUCAGGCACUGAUCUUCACUUUUGUCUGUGUGAUGUGACCCCAGCUUUCUGGAAAUGAGAGCCAGACCCAUUUGGCAAGAAGCAUGAUGAAGAAAGAACCAGUACUUUUGCCUAAUGCUACAAAACAUGCCUUCUCUCUCGAUGUCUGGGGCCAUAGCUGUACAGUCUACUGAGAGGCAAACUUAUCAUGUAGCCCAAUUAAAUUAAAAGGAUAAUAUUUGUUCUAGACUCAUUGAUUUUCCAUGGCAAGAUACAGGUUAAUAUUCUUAAUUAUUUGACCUUGGGUUUGGUUGGAAAUAUCUGAUUAAGAGAAAGUCUCUCUUUGGUAGAGAAGGAAAACAAUUUCAUGUAUCUACUGGACAGAGCACAACAUACAACUCUCAAUAACCUAUUAUAUGUCAGUGUUAUUAUUUUUGAGGAAUAUUUUGGAUAAGUGUGAUUUAAGACAUGUAUUUUGUAAAACACACUGUUAUCACUCUUGUUACUUGUUCUGUUGCUACAUCACAGGGUAUAGCUAGAGGCGAAAUGAAUGGCCGCAUUUGCAAUGCGAUUUGAUAUAUAAGGAAGUUAGUUUCCAACAGAAGGUGUUAAAACUGUGUCUUUGAGAUGAAUUUUUAGCUUAUCAGACUUUUAUCUACCAUACCUCUUAUCCUACGGUCUUAAUUUUCCUUAGUUGAAGGAAACUGUCAUCAUAAGUUUAUCGCAAGGAAAGAAAGUACAUAACUGAAAGGGAAUAAUAAUAAGAAAUACACAAUUUUUUAAAAAUAAAAAAAAUAAAUAAAUUGAAAAAAGAAAGAUGUUGAAUGUUUGGGAUGCAAAAUUCAUCUUUUCUUUUAAGACAGAUGCUGUAACGAACACUAAUUCUUCACUCCAAUCUACUUCUUGUUCAGUUUGAUACUUUUCCUUCAGGGACCAGUGCCAUUCAUUUGCUAGUGUUUUGAAUAUAUUAUCUGAAUCUUGUUUCUUUCCAGCAAUGAUAGAUAGCAUAUCCUAUAUGAGAGGAAGACAAGCGUCUAUUAUUAUGGAUCCAUACUUCUGAAGCACAAAUAUGUCUCUUAUUACGAACCAAAGACAAAGCAAUUAUGGGUACAGGGCUACAAAUGAGAGGAAUGUAAAAGACAUUGAAAUUUUUCUUUGUUAGCUUCCAAAUAUAUUUUUCCUCUACUCCAUUUUUCCCAAUGGGAAACAUUUGGGUUUUAUUGGAAUCACAUAAUUUUCAGCAUUUAAUCACACUUCUAAUCCCCAAGCAUUUUCGUAAAUCGUCCUCUCUUAUAAUUUCCUUUCUUGUAUAAAGAUACUUCUCAGGAAUUAUAUUCUCAGUUACAAUUGGGACAUUAUGCUUUCAUAGGUCAAAUUAUUAUUUUAUUUACUUUUCUUCUUGACCUUUGUUCUGAAUCCCAAAAUCUGUGUUUUUAAGAAAGCCUUUUCUCAAUACACUUCCUAGACUUUUAUUUCUGUUUUUGGUGACUUGUAUUUUUCAACUAUCUCUGUCUAAACAUGCUGUUCCAACCCAAACAAAUUUCAAUCCUCCUAUGGUUCACUUGGUAAAAAUGCUUACAAUUCCGAAGGUUAAUCCAUAUUUUUAAAACUCUCAAAGUUGUGAUGAUUACAAUCAUGAUUUCCAGAAACCUUUCCUGUAACAAACCUAAGGGGCAGCAAUGAAUAUCACAUGCCUAACAUAUAAACUUUUUCACAUGCAGCAUGAAUUCCUGGCAAAGUUAUAAUGCUAAAAUGGAUGCUGGACAGUAAAUAAAUCUUCCCAAUGGCAAUUCAGUAACUUAUUUAAAAUAGAUCAAGGCAUGUUAAGUGGCUUUUGAAUAUAGUCUACAUAUACAUAUAUAAAAUGAUUAAUAUAUAGCAAAGAUUAAUGCAUAUAUCUAAUUCAUUGGUAAUAUAAAAGUCUCUAGAUAUUUGGAAUUAUAAGAUCGAGUAAUUUCAGAGGCUAUGACAUUAAGGGAGACUCCAGAGAAAUAAGAGUGAUAAAGGAGCUGCAGUAAAUAGUAGUUGGUGACUCGGUGGAAAACAUCCAUAAAUCCAUUUCUCCAACAAGCUGGUGGGUUUGGGUCUUUGCUGCUGAAAUCCGUGCAAAAUGUGGGAAUACUAUUUAUUUUUAUUUUUAUUUUCUUCAAUUUUCUUUCAUGGCAUGAUUCAAACUUCAAUGGUAUCUCUAGUUUAAAAGGUCUUAAACUCAGGGAUAGGUUAUCUAAGAAUUCAUCACUUUGAUGAAAGAAUUUACUUAGAACAAAGGUCCCUAGAAAUUAUGCGAAGCAGGAUAGUUGUAAAACCCAAAAGGAAACUCACCAGUAUUGGAGAAGGAAGACUUCCGUCUUAACAGAUACUCGUGAGAGACUUGCCAAAGAGUUGUUUAUUGGUACUGGUGGAGUUUGAUAAUUCCCACCAAGCUGCUCUUUACUUGGUGCUGGUUGGGUUAUAUACACAUUGUCUUGGCUGGUAUCGGUGCUACAAGUAAUCCCCAGGUUUAAAAAAGAAGGUAUUUUCUUAGAUAAUCUCUGAAUCUAAGAAGUAAGGACGGUUGUUUUAAUUGAAGUCACCUGGCCCUUGCAUGCCAUUUUGAUAUUAUAGCAUGGAUUCCUUCUGCAUCCCCACAAAUACAAAGAAAA